AACAAGAAGAAGAAAAAAA
rnacentral:sRNA from 1 species